AGCAGCUUGCUGCUUUGCUGACGAGUGGCGGACGGGUGAGUAAUGUCUGGGAAACUGCCUGAUGGAGGGGGAUAACUACUGGAAACGGUAGCUAAUACCGCAUAACGUCGCAAGACCAAAGAGGGGGACCUUCGGGCCUCUUGCCAUCGGAUGUGCCCAGAUGGGAUUAGCUUGUUGGUGGGGUAACGGCUCACCAAGGCGACGAUCCCUAGCUGGUCUGAGAGGAUGACCAGCCACACUGGAACUGAGACACGGUCCAGACUCCUACGGGAGGCAGCAGUGGGGAAUAUUGCACAAUGGGCGCAAGCCUGAUGCAGCCAUGCCGCGUGUAUGAAGAAGGCCUUCGGGUUGUAAAGUACUUUCAGCGGGGAGGAAGGGAGUAAAGUUAAUACCUUUGCUCAUUGACGUUACCCGCAGAAGAAGCACCGGCUAACUCCGUGCCAGCAGCCGCGGUAAUACGGAGGGUGCAAGCGUUAAUCGGAAUUACUGGGCGUAAAGCGCACGCAGGCGGUUUGUUAAGUCAGAUGUGAAAUCCCCGGGCUCAACCUGGGAACUGCAUCUGAUACUGGCAAGCUUGAGUCUCGUAG
rnacentral:rRNA from 1 species